CAAAGAGUAGUUUAGUGCUAGAAUCCUAGCUUUGGGAGCUAGGGGCAGGAGUUGGAGUCUCCUCUUUUUGA
rnacentral:tRNA from 1 species